ACGAGAGGACCGGGAUGGACUGACCUCUGGUGCACCAGUUGUCACGCCAGUGGCACAGCUGGGUAGCUAUGUCGGGAAGGGAUAAACGCUGAAAGCAUCUAAGCGUGAAGCCCACCUCAAGAUUAGAUUUCCCAUAGCGUAAGCUAGUAAGACCCCUUGAAGAACACAAGGUUGAUAGGCUAGAGGUGUAAGUGUAGUAAUACAUUCAGCUGACUAGUACUAAUAGGUCGAGGGCUUGAUCUA
rnacentral:ncRNA from 1 species